CCCCUCUCAGGGUCGCACCUGGAGAGUUUUCAGUACUCUACCAGUCUCGGCUGUGGGAGGGUCAAGCAGAGGCAUACACCUUCCAUUCCUAUCUUGACCAGUGGCUAGCUAGUGGAAGACAAUCUGCUACAAGU